rnacentral:rRNA from 1 species
GUGCAAUUGUCACAUGGGUCUGAUGUAUUCCGAUGGAACCUCCAUGGGAAUGGACAAUUCUCAGUGGAGUCUAUGUAUAGCGCAUUAGUCCAGUCUGAUGUGCCAGCUGAUAAUAAUAAGAAGAAGAUCUGGAAGAUGAAGAUACCUCUUAAUAAUAAAAUCUUUGCAUGGUAUCUUCGUCGCGGAGUCAUUCUUACUAAAGAUAACCUUAUUAGGAGGAAUUGGCAUGGUAGUUCACAAUGUGUUCUUUGUCACCAUGAUGAGACAAUAAAACAUUUAUUCUUCCAAUGCAAAUUGGCUCGUUCUAUAUGGUCAGUCAUCCAAAUAGCUUCUGGCUUGUAUCCUCCCUGUAGUGUUGCUAAUCUAUUUGGCAACUGGUUACAUGGGAUUGAUCACAGGUUUAGAACUCUUCUCAGGGUGGGAGAGCUUGCCAUUAUUUGGUCGCUUUGGCUAUGUAGAAAUGAUAAGGUUUUUAACGAUAAAAGUACUUCUCUCUUCCAGGUUAUCUACAGAUGUACCAGGACUCUUCGUUUAUGGUCCUCUCUACAACGCGUGGAGAAUCGAGACCUGUUUACGGAGGUGUGUACACGAUUGAAGGCUACAGCGAGGGAUACUUUUACCCAGUAUGGGUGGCAACAUGAUUUUAGGAUUGGGACCCCUCCACUUUAG